AUAAAUGGAUCUUUAUCUUUAAAAUUACCUGAAGCUUUUUGUAUAGACACUACAUUUGCAUGCAUUAUGGACCCUGACACUGAGAGACAGUUAGCAGCAUCGAUCAUGGAGGAAGCAAAAAUGUUACGACUACAAGCUGAUAAAGAAGGUGUGCAUGCUUAUCUAGCCAAACCAAAGGUUCGAGGACGACCCAAUUCACAGUUUCUAACUGCAACAGUGUGUGGUGUCCAACAAGCUAACCGCAUGGCAGAUGUAAAUGAAAUGUGGCGCCUUUGGGAAAAGGAAUUGGAACUUGAGUGACGAAUGCAUCAGAACCAAUCAUUUAAAUAUCAGAAAAAUAUGCCAUCCGAGAGUUCAGAGCAUAGGAUGCAGGAUUCAAAGUGUAAAGCGUAUUCAAGUUCUAAAGAGGUCAAGGGCUGCAAAAAGGAGUUCAGUAGCUCAGAAAUUUCUCAUUCUUCUGAUUUGUCAGACAGUUCUGAAGACGAGCAAUACUAUUCAGCUAAGAGGAAAAAGGUUUGUGAGAAUGCAAUAGAUUCAGAUGAUUCAGCACAUGACUGCCAAAUGCAUCAUUGUGGCCUUAGGAAUGAAGGCCUAUGUGAUGAAGAAAUUGAAGCCUUCUUACGGUCAAGAGCCAAACGAGGUAGGGGAGUUGUAGGAUCUCGGAUGGAUGAACGAGGUCCCUACCUCAUGUCUUCUGCAGGGGAAUCAUCCUUGACAGGGCCUUCAGAGGUUCGAGUAAAGGAGGACUGGGAGCAGCGUAUUGUUGGACCAAGCAUGCCAUCUUCCAGCAGGACUGAUGUUGCUCUUGCAGCUUCGGAUAAAAUUAAUAGUAAGAAUUCUAGAAAUAAAGAGAGCAAAGAAAAAUGGAAACGGCAUUCAAGAAUGCAAAGUGAUGCGGAUGGAAAGAGCAAGUUCAAAAAAUCAAAGAAAAAGCAUGGAAAAGGAAUCAAAGUUAAAAAGGAAAAAAGCAAAAAGAAGAAAAGGAAGAAGAAAGUGGAUGAGGAAUGAAUUAGUGAUUUUUUGUUAUGGUUUCUGUUUUCUAUGUUAUUUGUGUUAUUACUUUGGUUGUGUUUGCCAGCAGAAAAAGUGUGAAUAUGUUGUGAUCCAUAUUGAUUGUUGCAUUUUUUAAGUGUGUUUGAAUACUGUUUGCAAAUGACUGUAUUCCUUUGGCUUAAGAAUAGUUAUUAUUAUGUAUUAAUUUUUAAAUUUGAAAUCUGAAUGCUUUGUUGCUAGUA